ACCGCGCGGGGUUCCCUAGAGCCCCAGAGGGAAGUUGGGUCGGGCGUGGUGACCCUAAUUGUAAUCCCAGCGGUUCGGGAUGCUGAGGCAGGGGGAUGACAAGUUCGAGGCCAGCUGGAGCAACUUAGGAAGACCCUGUCUCAAAAUGAAAAGGGCUGGGGAUGGAGCUCAGUGGUAGAGCGUCCCUGGGGUCACUCCCCGUAACACAAAAAAUAUAAAAGGAAGGAAUGAGGGUGGGUCCUGCAGGCCAGCAGUAAUGACCUUGCCAAGGCCCUGCAGGUGACAGAGGUCGUGGACAGGGGGUAUGCUGGAAAUGUCCACAGGGUCAGACCACCCAUGGUGAGUCUGGAAAGCUGUGGCCCUUCAGGGUUCCCUCAUUGACCCUCUGGCCCACUGCGGUCCAGUCACAGGGUGCAGGCUGUUCAGGUGGCAGAGUUGGGCGACAGGCUGUUGGGCGGAGGCCCUUGAAAUAAGGGCUCCCAGCAGCUGGAAGAGCCACCUGGGGCUGGGGGCUGGCUCAGUCUGCACUGUGCAGGAGAGGGCGAGGCCCAUCUGAGGACCGGAGAGCCUUUACCCAGCCUGAGCUGGAGUCUGAAAACUGACUGGACCAUGAGGGCCCCUGGGAGAGCACCAGGAGCCGGCUCUUCAGUGACCAGCGGAGCUCUCCCCAGAGAAGCCUGGGCGAAUGCUUCCCCACACUGUACACAUGUGAACACGGAAACAGUGAAACAGGGCCCUGAUGGCUGGAUUUAAUUGUCUGUUUUAAGGGCCUGUUAAGAUCAGACCAACCAGUGCUUGCCUCUCGUGCAGCAUUGGGCUGUGUCCCUGGCCUGGACGAGGUAUGGGCCAGCAGGAGGCUGCCUGUCUGCCACUCUGCGCUUCCCGCACACUGGAGGCGGUCACCCUAUGGAGCAGCAGUCACCCUGUGGAGCAGCUCUUCCCCUGGCCUGUGCCUUCAUUUGGGGCUCCCUGGCUCUCCCUUAGUGACCCCACAGCCGUUGGCUCCAGCCCUUUCAGCCCCCCACAUCCUGUUGUGCAUAAUUGGGGAAGAGUACAGGGCUGACUCCAGAGCAGGACAUCCACCCACACUGCCCCUCGGUGGGAAACAUGAAUGGAACCACCUGCUGGAGGUGUCCACCAUCUUGCAGUGAGGAAGGAUGAGGGUAGAUGGCGGGUGGGUGGCAGGUGUGCAGACUCACCAUAGGCCAAGGCCCAGGACGGGGUGGCACAGACUGCCCUCCUUUCAGACAAGCAGUACUACCUUCCGGGUGUUGUGAGGGUCUGUUGAGGGCUGUGGGUGGCAUCAGUCCCAAGAGACUGAUUGAUCUAAGGAUGGGUGAAGUCAUUGCCAUCUGCGCCCAGUCUUGAGAGACCUGGGUGGACCGCACAAGCCAGGUGAAGCAGGCCUGUGAGGAUGGCCCACCAGGGCUGUGGGUGCAUUCUUCGGGUGAGGUCCUGAGGCAGGGGGAUGUCUGCAGAGCAUUUUCAUUUACUUUAGUUUCAGAGGUCAUUUUCACUUUUUUUUUUUUUUUUACACAUUUCUGUGCCUAUUCUUUUCACUGUUAUAAAAAAGCUUUUGGGGGAGAAAUUAAGGAGGCAUGUAUCACUUGGAGCGGCCACAACACCCCUGCAUUAGAAUCUCUUCAUGGAGACCAGGACCCUCCCCAAGGCCUCCAGAUGGGGACUUCAGGUCCCCUGGUGAGCUUUUCAGGGAUGUGGCCAGUUUGGUCUUGCUCUGAGGUCUGUCCCACUACCCUGUCACCUUGUCUGUAGCUAAUGGCCCUGACUCUCCUGUCAGGCACCUAUCCAGUUGGCCCCGGCCCCAGGUCGUUGCCAACACCACCAGCAUGUGUGACCAACCCCUGCCCAUCCUUCACUCAGAGGUCCAGGUGUCAGGGCUGGAGGGUGGUGAGAGCCCCAGGAGAAAGAGACUGGUGUGACCUGUGCAGGGGUGUUGGGUGGGGAGCUGCAGAAGUGCAAGUUCCUCCACCUGGGACUAAUUUCAGGCCUGCUGGUCCCUGUGGAGCCAGUGCGGGCCUUCUGUUAUUGUCCUCAGGACUGACUCUGGCUGUGGCCGCUCCUUUGGCACUCUUCUGGCUGCCCUGCAGAGCCCCAGCCUCCCCGUAGCUCCCUCCCUGUCCCGUGCUCACACUGGCCCCUGUCUUGUGGAAGGGUCUGAGGAGCUUGGUGGUAUGUGGCCCUGGUCCUCCUGCCACCGUGGUGGAGCUGAGCAUAGCCAGGGAGCGUUGGAAACUUCCCAGCAGCAGCUGCCGCAUAUCCUGGGGUGGCUUGUCCCUGACUUGCCCCUUCAUGCCUUCCUUGUGUGAGUCUCUGUUCCUCCUCCACCUGCCAACCUCUGCUCACCCUUCAAGACCCCUCUGGAAGAUCCCUGCCUCUGCGAGGUCGCCUGCGGCCCUGUGCCACCACCUCCCUGGCCCCCAGGCUCCCUCGGUUCCUCUUCUACCCCAGGAGGCUCCCAGAUCCUCCUGCCUCAGGCUCCCAAGUCAUGAGUUCUCCAGGGUCAUUUUCAAACUGACCCCCCUGGGGGAGGCCCAGUGUGGCUUCAAGCUCAAUGAUAAUCCCCCUCCACCCCACCCCGCUUCCGAGAAGUGCUGAGGGGCCCAAGACAGGACAACGUGAAGGACACGCUGUCUUCCUGGACAGCCACCGGUGCCUCUUCUGCAGCCCCUCCCGCUUGCCAUCGAGGUAGGAGUCUACUCCCCACCCCUGGUGGUCCACCUUAGCGACUGGCCUGGAGUCAGAGGAGGCCCAGAGGGCUGUGCUGUGUGGUUCUGGGCUCUCAGAGAAGCCGGCUGUUCUCUCAGCCUCCUGGGCACUGCUCCCUCUGGGCACCAGCUGCUAUGCUGGGAAGUCUCAUGGGGAGGCCAUGAGAGGGGCGCCAGUGGGUGGCCAGCCGGCCAUCUGAACUGUAAGUGCAGGAGUAAGGCACUGUGGGUUCAACCCCAGUACCAAAGAAAAGUGUGGCGGAUGGGGUGUGGUGACGUCUUCUGAGGCUGGGCCACAGAAUGCCUGGGUUUCCGCCUCCCUGUCGGGGAUCUGGGAAGACAAGCAGUCUCCCCUCAGCUGCCAUGCUGGGUGGGUGUUCUAGCAGUCCUGCUCCCAGCCUGCUAAGGAGGAACUGAGGCCUCCACAACAGCCAGCCAUCUGGGAACAGACCCUGAGCCCCUGUGAGGCUGCAUAGGGCUGGCCCUCGGGCAUCCUCUCUGGAGCUUCCCGAGAGACCUGAGCCUGACCCACCUUGGCAUGGGUCAGUCUGACGACAGAACUGGAGACAUUCGAGGUGCUGCUAUGGAGUGAGUUGUGUCUCUCGUUCAUGUGCUGAAGCCUGACCCUCAACACGUGCAAAGCUCCCUAGGAUGGGCCCUGCUAUGGUUGAUCUGUGGUAUCCCCCAGAAGCUCAUGAGAGACAGCCAGGACGCUGCAAGGUCAGAUGACAGCCUGUGAGAGCCGCGGCUGCCUCAGUGGGUCAGCCCCUGGACUAGUCUAGCUGGUGGGGACUGCAGCUAGUAUGUAGGGUGCGGCUGGAGAGGCUGGGUCCCGGGGAUGUGCCUUUGGGGUUAUAUUGUGUCCCUGGCCACCAUGAAUGACCAGCUAUCUGCCAUGCCCUUCCUCCAUGAUGCUCUGCGCUACCUCAGGCCCAGAACAAUGGAUCCGGCCAGCCGUGGACUGAGCCUCUGAAACCACGAGCAAAAAUGAACUUUUCCUCCUCUAAGUUGUUCUACGUCUUUUGGUCUCAACAAUGAAAGCUGACUAAGACCGUGACCCACUAGUGUGACGAGCGGUUGUUAGUGUCUCAGUCUGAGGCACAGCUGGGUUCAAUCAGGUCUAUUUUAUUGAUGCUCAUCACACUUCAGACACACAUCCUGAUUCUGAGUCCUAACUGAGGCUACCCAAGAGUCCCAGAUGCUCACCUGACAUGGGUCCUCAGUCAGGGUCGCUGGAACUAGAUUCAAGCUGGAGGAGUCUGGUGGGGAGACCAGACCGAGACCUCCCUCUCUGUCCAGGUCCUGUUGGUCCCAUCGCCCCCCAGAGUCUGGGAUUUAAGUCCUAGUUCAGUUGUGCUUGCAGCAGUGCAGACGCCGACGUCACUAUCUAGGUCUGCCUGGGCCGCAGUUGGCCGCAGUUCUGCCACUCACAUCUCAUCAGGGGCACGUUGCUUAUGGUCUUUCCUCCACAUACACUUGGAUUAAUACAACCAACAGUAACCCUGUGUAUUCCUGGCACUCAGGUCACCUAGGACCAGUGGUCAGGACAGAGGCACACCAGAGGGUGACCACGUGAGGGCAGAGGGAGGAGAUGGCUGUGCAGGGCCUGAGGGCAACAAACCUCUCGCUUAGACCCCUCCCCUGCGAGGGGGGCUUCGUCACUGCUCCUGGCUGCCUUGUCCUGGGGCGGGUGGCCAGCCUGAGAAGGGAGCACACUGGCUGUGCGUGUACCAGGCACUUGUUGGUCUCUGUGUCACUGAACCCAAGGGCACUGGGUACCACAGCCGAUGGCUGCUCCUGUCCCCUUUUACAGGAGACCAAGGGACUAGUAACUUGCUCAAGGUCACAGGGUCGUGAGGGGCAGGACCUGUGUCAACGCUCUGUGCCUUGCUGGCCACAGCACAGGCCAGAGCUCUGCUCAGAGAGCCCUCUUGGUGACCGGGAGCUACACCCACAACAGCCCCCUGCUUCCUCAGGUGGAGGCCCAGGGCCAUGGACCCCCUCCUCUGCGCCCCACCUUUCCCUCCACGUGGUGGCUCACCUGUGCCCGUCUUUCCAGUGGCCUGAGCUCCUCCCUGGGACAGAGACCUCCUGCCGCAGAGCAGCCCCACGUGUGCUUGGCUGUUGCUUAGAGUGCGGCCUCGUGCUGGGUAUUCAGAACGGAGGCUCCAGGGCCCUGGGGGGCAGCAGGCCUGGCCAGAUCACAGACCAGCCCUGGUCCAGGGAACAUCCCUGGGAUCUAACCUAGGGCAACUCCUUCAUCUUCCCUGGGGCUGGGGUAAGGCUGGGGGUAGAGAAUUUGCCCAACAUGAGUGAGGCCCGGGAUCCUCCUCAGCACCAAAAGGGAAAACAGGGAAUCUAUGGCAGGAAGCCCUCUGCCAAGGCCGGGCCAGGACAGACUCAGCGCUGCCCCUGGGAGGCCGAGAAACAGCAGGCCUCAGUGAGAGGCCCUGGAGGGCAGGGCUGCUCUUGUCUCCUUGUGGACCCCCCUUGGUGUUAGGUGGGCACGUCCUCCCAACACCCAGACCCAGCUGUGAAGGGGUCCCAGGAGGCUGGUGCGCCCUCUCCCAGGGCUGCCCGCGUCCCAGACCCAGGCCUGGGCUCUGAGGCCUCUGUGCUAAUUUCACAAAAGACUCGACUUGAACUCCUGACUGAGCAGCUUCACUUUGACAGGACUGAAGAUUUGUGACAGGGCUGAUCAUCACCCCAGAGCGUGGGUGAUGUGCAGGCUCCGGGGAACCGGCUAGCAGGUAUAUUUUAUGGCUUGCUUGGAAGACAAACGCAGGCAUUUAUGUGUCACUUGUUGCAGUAUAAAUGCUAACUUGUACUUCUUUCAAAACUUUUAAUGAAUUGUAUGCAUUCUGGAGGAUUUGUAGGAUGAGUGGGAUGGCCCAAAAUGUUACUUUAAACAUAUUUGUCACUUUGGAAACAGCACCAAAAAAAAUCUGGAAGAUAUUGCACUCAGAAAUAAAUCAUAAAUGGAUGCAUCUGAAAA